UGAGGAAUAUUGGUCAAUGGCCGAGAGGCUGAACCAGCCAAGUCGCGUGAGGGAUGAAGGUUCUAUGGAUCGUAAACCUCUUUUAUAAGGGAAUAAAGUGCGGGACGUGUCCCGUUUUGUAUGUACCUUAUGAAUAAGGAUCGGCUAACUCCGUGCCAGCAGCCGCGGUAAUACGGAGGAUCCGAGCGUUAUCCGGAUUUAUUGGGUUUAAAGGGUGCGUAGGCGGCCUUUUAAGUCAGCGGUGAAAGUCUGUGGCUCAACCAUAGAAUUGCCGUUGAAACUGGGGGGCUUGAGUAUGUUUGAGGCAGGCGGAAUGCGUGGUGUAGCGGUGAAAUGCAUAGAUAUCACGCAGAACCCCGAUUGCGAAGGCAGCCUGCCAAGCCAUUACUGACGCUGAUGCACGAAAGCGUGGGGAUCAAACAG
rnacentral:rRNA from 1 species